GGACCCGCUAUGGUGCCUCCCUCCGGAAAAAUGGUAAAGAAAACUGAAAUCAGCCAGCACGCCAAGUACUCUUGCUCUUUCUGUGGCAAGACCAAGAUGAAGAGCCGAGCCGUCGGCAUCUGGCACUGGGGUUCAUGCGUGAAAACUGCGGCCAGCGGGGCCUGGACCUACACCCCCACCUCUGCAGGCACAGUGAAGUCUGCCAUCAGAAGACUGAAGGAACUGAAAGACCAGUAG
rnacentral:lncRNA from 1 species